ACUCCUGCGGGAGGCAGCAGUGGGGAAUUUUGGACAAUGGGCGAAAGCCUGAUCCAGCAAUGCCGCGUGAGUGAAGAAGGCCUUCGGGUUGUAAAGCUCUUUUGUCAGGGAAGAAACGGUGAAAGCUAAUAUCUUUUGCUAAUGACGGUACCUGAAGAAUAAGCACCGGCUAACUACGUGCCAGCAGCCGCGGUAAUACGUAGGGUGCAAGCGUUAAUCGGAAUUACUGGGCGUAAAGCGUGCGCAGGCGGUUUUGUAAGUCUGAUGUGAAAUCCCCGGGCUCAACCUGGGAAUUGCAUUGGAGACUGCAAGGCUAGAAUCUGGCAGAGGGGGGUAGAAUUCCACGUGUAGCAGUGAAAUGCGUAGAUAUGUGGAGGAACACCGACGGCGAAGGCAGCCCCCUGGGUCAAGAUUGACGCUCAUGCACGAAAGCGUGGGGAGCAAACAGGAUUAGAAACCCCUGUAGUCCCAUGAU
rnacentral:rRNA from 1 species